ACCUUGCUGACGAGUGCCAAGUAGAACGAAACUCGGGUCCAGGGU
rfam:Schistosoma curassoni strain Dakar, Senegal genome assembly, scaffold: SCTD_scaffold0008812